UUCACAAAAUUUAGAACCAAACAGACUCUUAAAAGGUUUGAAAAGACAAAAUUGCCCAUCAAUAUUUAACUAAUUUUAAUUGUAAAGUAUUAAAAUUUUAAAAUGACACUUUUGCCCUUCUACCAAUCUCUUCUAACCUAUCGAUCCCCACCCCCUUCUCUCUCUUUCACCAGCCGCCAUCAUCUCCUCAAAGGCAGCCCCUUAACCACAACCACCGCCACUUACCCUCAGCCACAUCCCGCCGCCACCAUCUCCUCAACCUCAACCUCAACCGCCGCCGCCAUCAUCUUCUUCUCAAUGACAGCCGCCGCCACCACUUCUCCUCAAUCACAGCCGCCGCCAUCAUCUUCUUCUCAAUCACAGUCGCCACCACCAUUUCUCCUCAAUCACAGCCGCCCAUCGGUGAUUGCAUAGUAUUACAUCUCUUAUCACCACCACCACGCUUUGUGCAAAAACAACAGAGGAGCAACCAACAGAUCAAUCCAGAUCCGUUUGCAUCAUGAGACAGUGGUCAGAGGUUACGGUGGAGGUGGUGGUGGUAUCACCGAAAUUAUCUGAAUCAGAUUCAUUUGAUUCGUUUGCGCCAUCUGAAAUCUCGAUAUAUGUGAGUUGAUAUAUAUUCAAGCGAUAUAUAUAUAUCGACUUAAAUACACUGUUUUUGCGCGAUCUGAAAUAUCUAAAUCAGAUUCAUUUGAUUCAUUUGCGGUGGCGGCAAAAUACACUUUGUUUUGGCCAUAUAUCAAUAUAUGUGAGUCGACAUAUAUAUAUAUAUAUAUCUGUAACUUCUCUCUCUAUAUAUGGUCUCUAACUUAACUUCUCUAUAUAUCUAUAAUAUAUCGAGAUAUAUAUAUAUAUAGGUAAUGCUACUGCGAGAGCGCUCUCGCAACAGCAGCGGCGUGCUCUCGCAUAACAGCCAUUGGAUUAGCAGACAUUGAGAUAAGUUCGUAAAGUAUAAUUAAAAUAUUAAGAAUGCUACUUUUUAGGGGCAACAGAAAAAGGCAAGAAACUUUUAUAUUUUUUAUCAUUUGUAUCUUUCUUCCUUUAUUCUUUAUUUCUCACGUGGGUUAUUUAAUGCACGAUCUUUCACAUUCAAUCUCUUUUAUAUAUAUAUAUAUUUUUUUAUCAUUUGUUUCUCCCUCUCUUUCUUAGUUCUCUCUCCACCUUGAUUUGUCAAUUGGGGUUCAUCCUCUUGUUUCAAAAAGGCAGAAAAUACUUUUUCUUACUUUUUAAUUAUACUUUCAUAAUUCUUCUCUCUUUUCUCUUUUACUCUCUUUGUUUUUUUUUUUUUUUUUUUUUUAUGAGGAAGUUUGCUAUGUAAUUUCCGAUCAAAGGGACACUCCUCCAUCCAUCUUCUCAUCCUCCCUCGAUGCUAUUAUACUAGAUUCCGGUAAGUUAGACUCCAUCCUUUGUAGUUUAAAAUAUUGGUUCACCAAUUGUUGUUUACCUUCUUCUAUGUAUCAAUCAACAACAAUCCCAAAAUAAUAAUAAUAAAAAAAAACCAUGUUUUUGUUUUAUUAUAUGUAUUUCACUAUAUAUUUAAUGAUAUGCCCCAAAUGCCAUAGAAUAUUCAUUUAUUUAUUUAUUAAAUUGUCAUUUUAAUUAAAAAAAACAUGUUAUCAUUUGAAUUGUCAUUUUUUCCAGAAUACCACAUGACUCUUUUGUGUAGUUAAUAGAUGGAUGUUUAGAUAUAUGUGGCCAUUUUGUUUUUUAUUAAUUAAAAUAAAUGUUAUCAAUGCAUUCUACAGGAUUCUGUGUAGUUAAAAAAUGGAUGUUGGAAGUCAAAAUUAUACAUGUUUUUGAUCUUAACGAGGAUGAUGUGGAGGUUAUUCAGUCAAAUGAUUAAGGAAAAAGAACACUAACUGAAUAUGAUGAGAAUGAGGACAUUGUUCCUUAUGUUGGCUUGGAAUUUGAAUCCAUAGAUGAGGCAUUUAAAUUUUAUAAUGGAUAUGCUUAUAGCAAGGGAUUUAGUGUCCAAAAAAGCUCUUCACGUGUAUCUAAGAAAACAAGAGAUAUAAUUGGUCAUCAAUUUUGUUGCUCACUUCAAGGAUUUCGAGAAUCUAGAUUUAAGAAUAAUGAAGAAAAGAAAAGAUAGUUUGCUGAAACAAGAGUGGAUUGUAAAGCAAUGAUAUCACUUGUUAAGAAAGAAGACAAAUGGGUUAUCUCUAAAGUUGUCGAAGAACAUAAUCACUCUCUUGUAACUCCAAGUAAAAAACAUAAGAUGCCAUCACAUAGGAAGGUAAAAGAAGUUCAUGGUCAAAUGUUAUCAAAUAUGUGUGAAUCAGGUGUAAAAACAAAUUUGAUGACGAAUUUUUUGGCCAUUGAAGAUGGUGGAUAUCGUAAUAUUGGUUUUACCUCAAAAGAUGCAAGAAACUUUUUGGGUAUUAAACGAAGAGCAGAGAUUCAAAAUGGAGAUGUGCAAUCGGUUCUUGAUUUUCUAGAAAAUCAACAAACUAAUAAUCGGUCGUUCUAUUAUUCAAUUCAAGUUGAUUCAAAAGAUAGGAUGACUAAUUUUUUUUGGGCAGAUUCUAGAUCACGAAUGGACUAUCACUAUUUUGGGGAUGUUGUUUGCUUUGAUCCAACAUAUGGGACAAAUAGGUAUGGCAUGCCAUUUGUCCCUAUUGUAGGGGUUAAUCAUCAUUAUCAAAUAGUGUUAUUUGGUGGUGCACUUCUUUUUGAUGAAACUGAGAAAUCUUUCGUUUGGGUAAUUUCAACGUGGAUGAAAGCGAUGAAUGAAAAAAUACCUAAAGUGAUUCUUACUGACCAAGAGUCUGCAAUUGCUAGGGCAAUAUCACGUGCAUUACCUGCAACUCAACAUCGUUUUGUCUUUACAUAUCACAAGAAAUGCUACAAAAAAUUUGGGCCGUAUAUACAAUGAACAUAAUGGAUUUAAGAGUGAUUUCAAUAAUUGCUUGCAUGAAUGUGAAUCCAUAGAAGAUUUUGAGUUUACUUGGGAUGAAAUGUUAGAAAAGUAUGGCUAGAAAGAUAACAAAUGGUUGAUGGGGUUAUACGGGAAAAGGGAAAAAUGGGCAGCUGUUUAUACACGUGAUGUCUUUUGUGCAUCUAUGUACACAACACAACGUAGUGAAAGUAUAAAUGCCUACUUUGAUGGGUACUUGAAGAAGGAUAUGCCAUUAUGUGAAUUUGUAAAACAAUAUGAAAAAGCUGUCGUGCAUAGGAGGGAAAUGGAAAAUGAUGAAGAUUUUGAGACACUCUAUAAGAGGCCUUUUUUAAGGAUUGAAAUGGACAUUGAAGAAAAUGCAUCUAAAGUUUAUACAAGAGCAAUCUUUAGAAUGUUUCAAGAUGAGUUACUAGCAGGUCUCAAUUACAAUCAUGAAAUGACUGCGAAUAUGGAUAAAACAAAUUUUCUUGUGUGGAGAGGCAAUUGAAAAGAUGUUGGACAUAUUAUCAAUUUUGAUAAUUCUGCUAUAUCUGUUAAUGUAAAAUGUACAUGUCAACUCUUUGAAUUUGCAGGAUACUUAUGCCGACAUAUCCUAAAGGUGUUUGUUGUCAUGAAUAUUCGAAAUGUUCCAUCACAAUACAUAUUAAAAAGGUGGACAAAAGAUGCAAAGUCUGGGCUGUGGUCAAUGAUAGGUGAACAAAUGCAAGUUGAUUGUCAUGCGCCUGUGACGCUUCGGCAUAACAGUCUUUGUCGUGAGGCUUCAAGCAUUGCCGAAAAAGGUGCUAUGCAUGAGGAAAUAUACAACUUGGCUAUGAAUGGUUUGAGGAAGUUGUCAAAUGAAAUUGAUGUUGCAAGGAGAACACUCGCAAUAAGCCAUGCUAAAUCUGAAAUGACAAGAAAUGGUUCUACAGUUUCCAAUAAUGUUGACAAUCAUAGAAGGUUACUUGAUCCUUUGAUUGUGAGGCAUAAAGGGCGCCCAGGAAGAAUUCAAUCAUUUUUAGAUAGGCCAAAAAGGCUUAGUAGGGUUACCAAGCAUGUGAUUGCCUCACAAAGGAUACAGAAUAUUGAUCACUUGGUAUGUGAUUAUUUACAUUAAUUUCAAAAUUUACUAUUCUAUAUAAUCUUUCAUGUAGGACAAAGAAAAAAGCAUGCUUCUAGUUCAAAUGAUGCUGCUGGUUUUGAUCUUAAUGAUUUUCAUGAGAAUUUUGGAAAUGAUAUAUGAAAUCUUUUGUAUUAGCGUGAUGGUGGAGGUGAAAUCUAGCUAAACAAAAUUACAAGCAAAGAUCUUCUUCUUCUUCGUUUUUUUUUUUUUUUUUUUUUUUUUUUUGUCAAAUGGAACUACUAUGAAGAAGUGAGCUUCAAUAGAUUGUUAGUGUUCUAUGUAAUUUUUAUAUUCAUGUUUUGUUGUAUUUUAUUUUGAAAUGUGUUUUUUUUUUACUCUUGUUGAGUGUUGUGGCCCAGAGAGGUAUGCCUCUCUCUUUCCCUGUAUUUGAUGUUUUGUUUUUAAUGAAAAAAGGUAACAUUGUCCUGGGA